UACGAAGGGGGCUAGCGUUGUUCGGAUUCAUUGGGCGUAAAGGGUGCGUAGGCGGCGCGGUAAGUCGGGUGUGAAAUCUCGGAGCUUAACUCCGAAACUGCAUUCGAUACUGCCGUGCUUGAGGACUGGAGAGGAGACUGGAAUUUACGGUGUAGCGGUGAAAUGCGUAGAUAUCGUAAGGAAGACCAGUGGCGAAGGCGGGUCUCUGGACAGUUCCUGACGCUGAGGCACGAAGGUCAGGGGAGCAAACGGU
rnacentral:rRNA from 1 species